rnacentral:rRNA from 1 species
GGAGCUUGCUCCGCUGACGAGUGGCGAACGGGUGAGUAAUGUAUCGGAACGUACCAUUCAGUGGGGGAUAACGUAGCGAAAGUUACGCUAAUACCGCAUAUUCUGUGCGCAGGAAAGCAGGGGAUCGCAAGACCUUGCGCUGAUUGAGCGGCCGAUAUCAGAUUAGCUAGUUGGUGAGGUAAAAGCUCACCAAGGCGACGAUCUGUAGCGGGUCUGAGAGGAUGAUCCGCCACACUGGAACUGAGACACGGUCCAGACUCCUACGGGAGGCAGCAGUGGGGAAUUUUGGACAAUGGGGGCAACCCUGAUCCAGCCAUGCCGCGUGAGUGAAGAAGGCCUUCGGGUUGUAAAGCUCUUUCAGCCGGGAAGAAAAUGCAUGGGUUAAUACCCUGUGCAGAUGACGGUACCGGAAUAAGAAGCACCGGCUAACUACGUGCCAGCAGCCGCGGUAAUACGUAGGGUGCGAGCGUUAAUCGGAAUUACUGGGCGUAAAGCGUGCGCAGGCGGUUUUGUAAGACAGGCGUGAAAUCCCCGGGCUUAACCUGGGAACUGCGUUUGUGACUGCAAGGCUAGAGUACGGCAGAGGGGGGGUGGAAUUCCACGUGUAGCAGUGAAAUGCGUAGAGAUGUGGAGGAACACCAAUGGCGAAGGCAGCCCCCUGGGUCGAUACUGACGCUCAUGCACGAAAGCGUGGGUAGCAAACAGGAUUAGAUACCCUGGUAGUCCACGCCCUAAACGAUGUCAACUAGGUGUUGGGAGGGUAAAACCUUUUAGUACCGUAGCUAACGCGAGAAGUUGACCGCCUGGGGAGUACGGCCGCAAGGUUAAAACUCAAAGGAAUUGACGGGGACCCGCACAAGCGGUGGAUGAUGUGGAUUAAUUCGAUGCAACGCGAAAAACCUUACCUACCCUUGACAUGUCAGGAACUUUCCAGAGAUGGAUUGGUGCUCGAAAGAGAACCUGAACACAGGUGCUGCAUGGCUGUGUCAGCUCGUGUCGUGAGAUGUUGGGUUAAGUCCCGCAACGAGCGCAACCCUUGUCGUUAAUUGCCAUCACUCAGUUGGGCACUUUAACGAGACUGCCGGUGACAAACCGGAGGAAGGUGGGGAUGACGUCAAGUCCUCAUGGCCCUUAUGGGUAGGGCUUCACACGUCAUACAAUGGUCGGUACAAAGGGUCGCCAACCCGCGAGGGGGAGCCAAUCCCAUAAAGCCGAUCGUAGUCCGGAUUGUAGGCUGCAACCCGCCUGCAUGAAGUCGGAAUCGCUAGUAAUCGUGGAUCAGCAUGUCACGGUGAAUACGUUCCCGGGUCUUGUACACACCGCCCGUCACACCAUGGGAGCGGGUUCCGCCAGAAGUAGGUAGCCUAACCGCAAGGGGGGCGCUUACCACGGCGGGGUUCGUGACUGGGGUGAAGUCGUAACAAGGUA